GGGAGUGUGGUGGAAUGGUAUACACUGGAGACUUAAAAUCUCCCGCCUUCGGGAUUGAGGGUUCGAGUCCCUCCUCUCCUACCA
rnacentral:tRNA from 1 species